rnacentral:rRNA from 1 species
AGAACGAACGCUGGCGGCAUGCCUAAUACAUGCAAGUCGAACGAACACUUCGGUGUUAGUGGCGCACGGGUGCGUAACGCGUGGGAAUCUGCCCUUGGGUUCGGAAUAACAGUUGGAAACGACUGCUAAUACCGGAUGAUAUCGAAAGAUCAAAGAUUUAUCGCCCAGGGAUGAGCCCGCGUAGGAUUAGCUAGUUGGUGAGGUAAAGGCUCACCAAGGCGACGAUCCUUGGCUGGUCUGAGAGGAUGAUCAGCCACACUGGGACUGAGACACGGCCCAGACUCCUACGGGAGCAGCAGUAGGGAAUAUGGACAAUGGGCGCAAGCCUGAUCCAGCAAUGCCGCGUGAGUGAUGAAGGCCUUAGGGUUGUAAAGCUCUUUUACCCGAGAUGAUAAUGACAGUAUCGGAGAAUAAGCCCCGGCUAACUCCGUGCCAGCAGCCGC